GGGGAAUUUUGGACAAUGGGGGCAACCCUGAUCCAGCCAUGCCGCGUGUCUGAAGAAGGCCUUCGGGUUGUAAAGGACUUUUGUCCGGGAAGAAAAGCGCGAUGUUAAUACCAUUGCGUGCUGACGGUACCGGAAGAAUAAGCACCGGCUAACUACGUGCCAGCAGCCGCGGUAAUACGUAGGGUGCGAGCGUUAAUCGGAAUUACUGGGCGUAAAGCGGGCGCAGACGGUUACUUAAGCAGGAUGUGAAAUCCCCGGGCUCAACCUGGGAAUUGCGUUCUGAACUGGGUGGCUAGAGUGUGUCAGAGGGGGGUAGAAUUCCACGUGUAGCAGUGAAAUGCGUAGAGAUGUGGAGGAAUACCGAUGGCGAAGGCAGCCCCCUGGGAUAGCACUGACGUUCAUGCCCGAAAGCGUGGGUAGCAAACAGGAUUAGAUACCCUGGUAGUCCACGCCCUAAACGAUGUCGAUUAGCUGUUGGGCAACUUGAUUGCUUGGUAGCGAAGCUAACGCGUGAAAUCGACCGCCUGGGGAGUACGGUCGCAAGAUUA
rnacentral:rRNA from 1 species